rnacentral:rRNA from 1 species
GGGUUGUGAGGUUAAGCGACUAAGCGUACACGGUGGAUGCCCUGGCAGUCAGAGGCGAUGAAGGACGUGCUAAUCUGCGAUAAGCGUCGGUGAGGUGAUAUGAACCGUUAUAACCGGCGAUUUCCGAAUGGGGAAACCCAGUGUGUUUCGACACACUAUCAUUAACUGAAUCCAUAGGUUAAUGAGGCGAACCGGGGGAACUGAAACAUCUAAGUACCCCGAGGAAAAGAAAUCAACCGAGAUUCCCCCAGUAGCGGCGAGCGAACGGGGAGGAGCCCAGAGUCUGAAUCAGUGUGUGUGUUAGUGGAAGCGUCUGGAAAGGCGUGCGAUACAGGGUGACAGCCCCGUACACAAAAAUGCACAUAUUGUGAGCUCGAUGAGUAGGGCGGGACACGUGGUAUCCUGUCUGAAUAUGGGGGGACCAUCCUCCAAGGCUAAAUACUCCUGACUGACCGAUAGUGAACCAGUACCGUGAGGGAAAGGCGAAAAGAACCCCGGCGAGGGGAGUGAAAAAGAACCUGAAACCGUGUACGUACAAGCAGUGGGAGCCUCUUAAUGGGGUGACUGCGUACCUUUUGUAUAAUGGGUCAGCGACUUAUAUUCUGUAGCAAGGUUAACCGAAUAGGGGAGCCGAAGGGAAACCGAGUCUUAACUGGGCGUUAAGUUGCAGGGUAUAGACCCGAAACCCGGUGAUCUAGCCAUGGGCAGGUUGAAGGUUGGGUAACACUAACUGGAGGACCGAACCGACUAAUGUUGAAAAAUUAGCGGAUGACUUGUGGCUGGGGGUGAAAGGCCAAUCAAACCGGGAGAUAGCUGGUUCUCCCCGAAAGCUAUUUAGGUAGCGCCUCGUGAAUUCAUCUCCGGGGGUAGAGCACUGUUUCGGCAAGGGGGUCAUCCCGACUUACCAACCCGAUGCAAACUGCGAAUACCGGAGAAUGUUAUCACGGGAGACACACGGCGGGUGCUAACGUCCGUCGUGAAGAGGGAAACAACCCAGACCGCCAGCUAAGGUCCCAAAGUCAUGGUUAAGUGGGAAACGAUGUGGGAAGGCCCAGACAGCCAGGAUGUUGGCUUAGAAGCAGCCAUCAUUUAAAGAAAGCGUAAUAGCUCACUGGUCGAGUCGGCCUGCGCGGAAGAUGUAACGGGGCUAAACCAUGCACCGAAGCUGCGGCAGCGACACUAUGUGUUGUUGGGUAGGGGAGCGUUCUGUAAGCCUGUGAAGGUGGCCUGUGAGGGUUGCUGGAGGUAUCAGAAGUGCGAAUGCUGACAUAAGUAACGAUAAAGCGGGUGAAAAGCCCGCUCGCCGGAAGACCAAGGGUUCCUGUCCAACGUUAAUCGGGGCAGGGUGAGUCGACCCCUAAGGCGAGGCCGAAAGGCGUAGUCGAUGGGAAACAGGUUAAUAUUCCUGUACUUGGUGUUACUGCGAAGGGGGGACGGAGAAGGCUAUGUUGGCCGGGCGACGGUUGUCCCGGUUUAAGCGUGUAGGCUGGUUUUCCAGGCAAAUCCGGAAAACCAAGGCUGAGGCGUGAUGACGAGGCACUACGGUGCUGAAGCGACAAAUGCCCUGCUUCCAGGAAAAGCCUCUAAGCAUCAGGUAACAUCAAAUCGUACCCCAAACCGACACAGGUGGUCAGGUAGAGAAUACCAAGGCGCUUGAGAGAACUCGGGUGAAGGAACUAGGCAAAAUGGUGCCGUAACUUCGGGAGAAGGCACGCUGAUAUGUAGGUGAAGCGACUUGCUCGUGGAGCUGAAAUCAGUCGAAGAUACCAGCUGGCUGCAACUGUUUAUUAAAAACACAGCACUGUGCAAACACGAAAGUGGACGUAUACGGUGUGACGCCUGCCCGGUGCCGGAAGGUUAAUUGAUGGGGUUAGCGGUAACGCGAAGCUCUUGAUCGAAGCCCCGGUAAACGGCGGCCGUAACUAUAACGGUCCUAAGGUAGCGAAAUUCCUUGUCGGGUAAGUUCCGACCUGCACGAAUGGCGUAAUGAUGGCCAGGCUGUCUCCACCCGAGACUCAGUGAAAUUGAACUCGCUGUGAAGAUGCAGUGUACCCGCGGCAAGACGGAAAGACCCCGUGAACCUUUACUAUAGCUUGACACUGAACAUUGAGCCUUGAUGUGUAGGAUAGGUGGGAGGCUUUGAAGUGUGGACGCCAGUCUGCAUGGAGCCGACCUUGAAAUACCACCCUUUAAUGUUUGAUGUUCUAACGUUGGCCCGUAAUCCGGGUUGCGGACAGUGUCUGGUGGGUAGUUUGACUGGGGCGGUCUCCUCCUAAAGAGUAACGGAGGAGCACGAAGGUUGGCUAAUCCUGGUCGGACAUCAGGAGGUUAGUGCAAUGGCAUAAGCCAGCUUGACUGCGAGCGUGACGGCGCGAGCAGGUGCGAAAGCAGGUCAUAGUGAUCCGGUGGUUCUGAAUGGAAGGGCCAUCGCUCAACGGAUAAAAGGUACUCCGGGGAUAACAGGCUGAUACCGCCCAAGAGUUCAUAUCGACGGCGGUGUUUGGCACCUCGAUGUCGGCUCAUCACAUCCUGGGGCUGAAGUAGGUCCCAAGGGUAUGGCUGUUCGCCAUUUAAAGUGGUACGCGAGCUGGGUUUAGAACGUCGUGAGACAGUUCGGUCCCUAUCUGCCGUGGGCGCUGGAGAACUGAGGGGGGCUGCUCCUAGUACGAGAGGACCGGAGUGGACGCAUCACUGGUGUUCGGGUUGUCAUGCCAAUGGCACUGCCCGGUAGCUAAAUGCGGAAGAGAUAAGUGCUGAAAGCAUCUAAGCACGAAACUUGCCCCGAGAUGAGUUCUCCCUGACUCCUUGAGGGUCCUGAAGGAACGUUGAAGACGACGACGUUGAUAGGCCGGGUGUGUAAGCGCAGCGAUGCGUUGAGCUAACCGGUACUAAUGAACCGUGAGGCUUAACCUUACAACGCCGAAG